rnacentral:rRNA from 1 species
UACGUAGGGUGCGAGCGUUGUCCGGAAUUAUUGGGCGUAAAGAGCUCGUAGGCGGUUUGUCGCGUCUGCUGUGAAAACUCGGGGCUUAACUCCGGGCUUGCAGUGGGUACGGGGCAGACUAGAGUGCGGUAGGGGGAGACUGGAAUUCCUGGUGUAGCGGUGAAAUGCGCAGAUAUCAGGAGGAACACCGGUGGCGAAGGCGGGUCUCUGGGCCGUAACUGGACGCUGGAGGAGCGAAAGCGUGGGGAGCGAACAGG